CUCACUCGCAGCGGCGAAAAGGGCCUUGUGGAAUGUCAGUAUCAGCCAAUGAGGAGAGCGAGUGCUUGCUAGUAGCCAAUGAACAAUGGAACGUCCCUCACCUUGGGGCAAACGUAGAUCAUGUUUUACUCUCCUCAAAUAAUCUAGAAGGUGGUCAGGCCUGCGUCCAGUGGUUUUUGAAGACAGACAAUGGUAUCACAUCCAGGCUCACUGUCCAUUUCCCUGGUCGCUCGUCUUCUUGCCCAACACCGGCCUUCAAUUUGUUACUCCUCCAGGGCUAUCAAGGCCUUCUCACAAAGAAUAACGAAACCAGCUAGAUGACAUCAUGAAUCAUCUCAAGAUGCCCACCCCUCCCCAACUCUACAGCAAUGACCUCGCUGACCUCAGAAUCUGCACCCCCUUCCAGCAGGAAGUAGUUAGAGAAUGAGAUUCUACACCCAGUUCCCCAGAGGCCCAAUUAAGAAAAGUAAAAUAUGGGAAUGAAGGCAAAUUCUGGCAUGCUAAGACCCCCACCCCUUAAGAUCCAAUCACCAAUGACCAGAUGGUUGCCCACCCCUUAAGAUCCAAUCACCAAUGCAGAGCACACCCUACCCCUACUCCUUAAAAAUGCACUUCCUCACCCAUGAGCUGCUGCUCCAUUUCUCUGGGGGCAGACAUUUUCUC